GCAGAUGUGGCGAAAUUGGUAUACGCGCUGGUUUUAGGUUCCAGUGACUUCGGUCGUGAGAGUUCGAGUCUCUCCAUCUGCA
rnacentral:tRNA from 1 species